rnacentral:rRNA from 1 species
UACGGAGGGUGCAAGCGUUAUCCGGAUUCACUGGGUUUAAAGGGUGCGUAGGUGGGUCGGUAAGUCAGUGGUGAAAUCUCCGAGCUUAACUUGGAAACUGCCAUUGAUACUACCGAUCUUGAAUACUGUGGAGGUUAGCGGAAUAUGUCAUGUAGCGGUGAAAUGCUUAGAUAUGACAUAGAACACCAAUUGCGAAGGCAGCUGGCUACACAAUUAUUGACACUGAGGCACGAAAGCGUGGGGAUCAAACAGG